rnacentral:rRNA from 1 species
UACAGAGGUCCCAAGCGUUGUUCGGAUUCACUGGGCGUAAAGGGUGCGUAGGCGGUUUGACAAGUCUGAUGUGAAAUCCCGCAGCUUAACUGCGGAACUGCAUUGGAAACUGUUUGACUAGAGGAAUGGAGGGGAGACUGGAAUACUUGGUGUAGCAGUGAAAUGCGUAGAUAUCAAGUGGAACACCAGUGGCGAAGGCGAAUCUCUGGACAGUUACUGACACUGAGGCACGAAGGCCAGGGGAGCAAACGGG